rnacentral:rRNA from 1 species
UGCCAGCCGCCGCGGUAAUACGGAGGGUCCAAGCGUUAUCCGGAAUCAUUGGGUUUAAAGGGUUCGUAGGCGGGUCAAUCAGUCAGAGGUGAAAUCCUGUCGCUUAACGAUAGAAUUGCCUUUGAUACUGUUGGUCUUGAGUCAUAUGGAAGUAGAUAGAAUAAGUAGUGUAGCGGUGAAAUGCAUAGAUAUUACUUAGAAUACCGAUUGCGAAGGCAGUCUACUACGUAUGUACUGACGCUGAUGAACGAAAGCGUGGGGAGCGAACGGGAUUAGAUA